rnacentral:misc_RNA from 1 species
GAUGAAGAACGCAGUGAAAUGCGAUAAGUAAUGUGAAUUGCAGAAUUCAGUGAAUCAUCGAAUCUUUGAACGCACAUUGCGCCCUAUGGUAUUCCGUAGGGCAUGCCUGUUCGAGCGUCAUUCAAACCUUCAAGCUCUGCUUGGUGUUGGGCGUCUGUCCUGCCUCACGGCGCGGACUCGCCUCAAAUCUAUUGGCGGCCGGCACGUUGGCUUCGAGCGCAGCAGAAACGCGAACUCGAGACCGGCGGAUCGGCUCCCAGAAGCUACCCCCAUGAAUUUGACCUCGGAUCAGGUAGGGAUACCCGCUGAACUUAAGCAUAUCAAUAAGCGGAGGA